GACGAACGCUGGCGGCGUGCUUAACACAUGCAAGUCGAACGAUGACGACCGAGCUUGCUCGGUCUGAUUAGUGGCGAACGGGUGAGUAACACGUGAGCAACCUGCCCUUCACUCUGGGAUAACCUCGGGAAAUCGGGGCUAAUACCGGAUAUGAGCUCCUGUCGCAUGGCGGGUGUUGGAAAGUUUUUCGGUGCAGGAUCGUCUCGCGGCCUAUCAGUUUGUUGGUGAGGUAGUGGCUCACCAAGGUGAUGAAGGGUAGCCGGCCUGGGAGGGCGACCGGCGACACUGGGACUGAGACAGGGCCCAGACUCCAACGGGAGGCAGCAGGGGGGAGUAUUGCACAAUGGGCGAAAGCCUGAUGCAGCGACGCCGCGUGAGGGAUGACGGCCUUCGGGUUGUAAACCUCUUUCAGCAGGGAAGAAGCGAAAGUGACGGUACCUGCAGAAGAAGCGCCGGCUAACUACGUG
rnacentral:rRNA from 1 species